rnacentral:misc_RNA from 1 species
AAGUCGUAACAAGGUUUCCGUAGGUGAACCUGCGGAAGGAUCAUUAACACGUAUCCAAACGUUAAAAACCCUGUGAACUUUCAUGCAGCUCGUAACCCGCAAGGAACAGCAAUCCCGGUAAAUCAUUGUUGAACAGUUUUGAUUCGGGACCUCUGUACAGUUACGGUCGUAGCUUAGAGUCAGUGGCAUGGCUUCCCCAAGCAGUUAGUGAAAUGACAUUGUCACUAUCUGUGUAAGGAUAACGCCUCACGGUUGCUAGAGGUCGAUCACCGGCCGGCAAAAACAUGUCACAGGGCUAUAUGCCCCCUAACCACCCCUUGCACGAAUGUCUCGCCUAGUGGUCACGCGCUUGGCACCAAAACGAACAACUGUUAACAAUGGAUAUCUUGGUUCUC